rnacentral:rRNA from 1 species
ACGCUGGCGGCAGGCUUAACACAUGCAAGUCGAGCGGGCACUUCGGUGUCAGCGGCAGACGGGUGAGUAACACGUGGGAACGUACCCUUUGGUUCGGAAUAACGCUGGGAAACUAGCGCUAAUACCGGAUACGCCCUUUUGGGGAAAGGCUUGCUGCCGAAGGAUCGGCCCGCGUCUGAUUAGCUAGUUGGUGGGGUAAUGGCCUACCAAGGCGACGAUCAGUAGCUGGUCUGAGAGGAUGAUCAGCCACACUGGGACUGAGACACGGCCCAGACUCCUACGGGAGGCAGCAGUGGGGAAUAUUGGACAAUGGGCGCAAGCCUGAUCCAGCCAUGCCGCGUGAGUGAUGAAGGCCUUAGGGUUGUAAAGCUCUUUUGUCCGGGACGAUAAUGACGGUACCGGAAGAAUAAGCCCCGGCUAACUUCGUG